CCAGUGAGCUGCUUGGUGGCUCUUGGGCAAGCACUGAGUCUCUGCAGCUUCCCUGUUACAGGUUGUCAGGAGACUUCAUCUGCUCGUUCUCUACCAGAUGGGGGAGGGGGGGGGGAGAUAGCAAUGUCUUCUGCUUCCAGUGAGACUCAAUGUGAGCCCAGCUCAAGCACCGUCUCAGGGCAAGAGCUGGUAUUGGUGGGAGUGUCUACCACUGGGCUCAGGAAGAUGAACACAGGGCUGCAGCUCACUGUGGCAGCUGAAGCAGCUUUCCACGCACAUCGGCUGUGAGUGGCUUCAGUUCCUUGCUGGUUCCGGAUGAUAAAGAACUCCCAAGUUGGAAACUAAGUUGAGAGAGGAGGAGAAAAGGAGACAACUAGAGAGAGGGCGAGGACUGGGAUGCAUCACCUUGCAGAUUCUUUCACUAACUUAUGAAUGAGGAAACUGGACUUCAAGGAAGUCACCCAACCUCCUCCAAUCCUACAUGGCGGGUCCACAUCCUAGCUGUUCCUAGCGCCACACUCUGCUUUCUGGGCAAGCUCGGGUCCCUGCUGUAACUUGGAGUUGAAAGUUGGUUCUCAUUACUUUCAAAUGCUUCUGCCCUCAGUUAACGCUUCAAGCUUAACAUCUCACCAAAGGACCAAUAAAUCUCAUUUCCAAUACGUAACUGCCAGCAGUGAAACACACACACACACACACACACACACACAAAUCCCCCCAAACCGUUGCUCACUACUUCAGUGCGAGGCGUGGACUGCUACAGUCUGUCCACAGUGACAAGGCAGACACUGGGCACCAGCCCAGCAACACAUUCUUUGACAGCAGCAUGAAAUAUUUUACAACAGUUCCCAGGAAGUUCUCACUGGCUGUCCCAAUUACAAUGAAGUCUUCUUGAGGCAUCUGUUGAAGGGAGCCUUAACACACACAUCCCACUGGCAUCCUCGAGGCUUCAUGACAGCAAGCAGAUCCUGAGGACAAGGGAAACUGGGAUAGCCGAUCUUGUUUGUCAGCCUGAUUAGAUUCAAGAGCAAUCGAGAAACGCACUUCUGCGACGGUUAUGAGGACAUUUUCUAGAAGAACUGACUGAAGGGAGGAAGGCUGUUCCUCAGAGUGGCCAUCGACUUCCGGUGGGGGGAGGGGGGUUCAGCUAUGAAGAUGUCUGAAGGAAAAGCAGGGCUGUUUUUACCUGCCUGCCUUUAGUCCUUGCUGGUGAGCCCAUUACCCCACCGUUGUCACGGCAGUCAGCAUCAGUCCUUCACUGAUGUCAGACCCCAGCCUUUCCGGCUUCCCAUUGUGGCUUCCCAGGAACGCUCCAGGCCCUUGGCUGCCUUUUCAACCUCUGCACUGUGAAGGCAGACAUUGCUGGACUUCACAGUGGAUCGACUACCCAGCCUGUAUCCUAUAAGCCAAUUUAAUAAAUCCCUUUGUGACACCCA
rnacentral:lncRNA from 1 species